CAUUGCCCAUCUUUUCUUGAGUACCUCCAAUUGUAUGUUCAUUCUUUCAAAUUUUUCCUACAGAAAUGCAAUAUUUUCAUGGAGUUCAGAGUAGCAGGGUCUUCAGUGAAAGACAGAGCGUCAACACUCUUCACGACGUAUGUCAACAACGCUCCUUCCUAAUAUGAGAAGAAAAAGGAUGUGUGGCGUGAACAGGUUGUUGCAUAACUGAGGGCAAUUCAGCACAUGAUUUAUGGAGCAGAAAAGAGCAGCUCUGCUCCAGCCAGCGAUAGGUUAAACAUCUGACGGAUUCAUCACAAGUCUUGCAUGGACCAUCCUUCAUAUGACAGUUCCAGCAGCAGGGGAUGAUCGUGCAGGGAAGAAAGAAGAGGCAAUCAAGACAACCAUAGACCUCACCUGUUGCAGGGUUUGGUUGCCCAAAAUCGGCUUGGCUUCGCCAAAACUCCUCUUCUCUAGAAGCCUGGCUGGCAAGGCAUCCCACUGGCAGUAGGGUGGUCAACCUUGCAUCGGUUUCGUGACAUGCUAUCUUUCCCCUCUGCAUUCCAUAGUCAAGGGUGAGUCC